GAUGAACGCUGGCGGCGUGCCUAAUACAUGCAAGUCGAGCGAACAGACGAGGAGCUUGCUCCUCUGACGUUAGCGGCGGACGGGUGAGUAACACGUGGAUAACCUACCUAUAAGACUGGGAUAACUUCGGGAAACCGGAGCUAAUACCGGAUAAUAUAUUGAACCGCAUGGUUCAAUAGUGAAAGACGGUUUUGCUGUCACUUAUAGAUGGUUCCUCGCCGCAUUAGCUAGUUGGUAAGGUAACGGCUUACCAAGGCAACGAUGCGUAGCCGACCUGAGAGGGUGAUCGGCCACACUGGAACUGAGACACGGUCCAGACUCCUACGGGAGGCAGCAGUAGGGAAUAUUCCGCAAUGGGCGAAAGCCUGACGGAGCAACGCCGCGUGAGUGAUGAAGGUCUUCGGAUCGUAAAACUCUGUUAUUAGGGAAGAACAAAUGUGUAAGUAACUAUGCACGUCUUGACGGUACCUAAUCAGAAAGCCACGGCUAACUACGUG
rnacentral:rRNA from 1 species